GAGUCGGCCAGGCAACCGCGCCCGCGCAAGCGGGGGAGGAAAGUCCGGGCUCCACAGGGCAGGGUGCCAGGUAACGCCUGGGGGGCGCGAGCCUACGGAAAGUGCAACAGAAAGGAUACCGCCCGGCGCCUCGGUGCCAGGUAAGGGUGAAAUGGUGCGGUAAGAGCGCACCGCGCAGGUGGCAACACGCUGCGGCAAGGUAAACCCCACCCGGAGCAAGACCAAAUAGGAAGGCAAUGCCGCGGCCCGCGGUGCCUUCGGGUAGGUCGCUUCAGGCUGCCGGUGACGGCGGUCGCAGAUGAAUGGUUGCCCACGACAGAACCCGGCUUAUCGGCCGACUCC
rnacentral:RNase_P_RNA from 1 species